UAUCUUCUGUCCAAUUAACAACUGUUUUUCUUCCUCUCUGACCACUCUGUCAACUCAGAAAGGGAAAGCUCAGUGCAAUUCUCUCAGUAUCCAAAGCUACUUCUAUGGGAUCAUAGACAUAUAUCAAAUGUAUUAUUGUAAAUUCAAGGGCUAUAUUUAAAACAAUAGCAUCUGAACCUGAUCCUAUAAAAAAUUCCACGGUGAGAGAAAACACUGGAAGUAUGAUAUUGACCCUGAGAUAUAGUAACAUAUGAAUAAUUUUGUGGCUUAUGUGAAUAUUGAGACAAAAAAUUGAUUAUUCCUGGAUACACAGAAUGUGUAGUGCCUAUAUUUAUCAACUAUCAGGAUCUCUUUUCUAUAGCCAAAAAUGUCCACUCUAGACCUUUCCCCAAGUGGUAAAUGUGGGCAGUUCUUGGAAUGAGCAUGUUCAGGACAGCUCUGUGGAGAUGGGAGCCUAAGGCCAGCAGAGCACUUAGGUGUAUUGAAAACCCAGGCCUCCUGUGAUUUGGAUGGGUGGGAUUACUUGUAUGUGCAAUGGUUGAAAGCCAUGCUUCCCUUUAUCUCCUCCUGUCUCUGAUGGCACAUGAACAGCCUGGGUUCUCUUGGUUCCGAUUCAUUGCCUGCAAUUACAGAUGUGUACAUAUUAUGUGUUUCAACUCUGGGUCAUAUGCCAGAAAAUAGUACCUGAC
rnacentral:lncRNA from 1 species